rnacentral:rRNA from 1 species
CCUACGGGAGGCAGCAGUGGGGAAUCUUGGGCAAUGGGCGCAAGCCUGACCCAGCAACGCCGCGUGAAGGAAGAAGGCUUUCGGGUUGUAAACUUCUUUUCUCAGGGACGAAGAAAGUGACGGUACCUGAGGAAUAAGCCACGGCUCACUACGUACCAGCAGCCGCGGUAAUACGUAGGUAGCAAGCGUUAUCCGGAUUUACUGGGUGUAAAGGGCGUGUAGGCGGGACUGCAAGUCAGAUGUGAAAACCACGGGCUCAAACUGUGGCCUGCAUUUGAAACUGUAGUUCUGGAGUACUGGAGAGGCAGACGGAAUGCCUAGUGUAGCGGUGAAAUGAGUAGAGAUUAGGAGGAAGACCAGUGGCGAAGGCGGUCUGCUGGACAGCAACUGACGCUGAGGCGCGAAAGCGUGGGGAGCAAACAGGAUUAGAUACCCCAGUAGUC